GAUGAACGCUGGCGGCGUGCUUAACACAUGCAAGUCGAACGAAGCGAUUUAGCGGAAGUUUUCGGAUGGAAGCUAGAUUGACUGAGUGGCGGACGGGUGAGUAACGCGUGGGUAACCUGCCUCGCACUGGGGGACAACAGUUAGAAAUGACUGCUAAUACCGCAUAAGCGCACAGGACCGCAUGGUCCGGUGUGAAAAACUCCGGUGGUGUGAGAUGGACCCGCGUUUGAUUAGCUAGUUGGUGGGGUAACGGCCUACCAAGGCGACGAUCAAUAGCCGACCUGAGAGGGUGACCGGCCACAUUGGGACUGAGACACGGCCCAAACUCCUACGGGAGGCAGCAGUGGGGAAUAUUGCACAAUGGGGGGAACCCUGAUGCAGCGACGCCGCGUGAGUGAAGAAGUAUUUCGGUAUGUAAAGCUCUAUCAGCAGGGAAGAAAAUGAC
rnacentral:rRNA from 1 species